GAAACUGCGAAUGGCUCAUUAAAACAGUUAUAGUUUAUUUGAUGUUCGUUUUACAUGGAUAACCGUGGUAAUUCUAGGGCUAAUACAUGCUCGAGGCGCGUUUUCGCGUGGCGUUUAUUAGACUUUAACCAACCCUUCGGGUAAUCGGUGAUUCAUAAUAAAUUAGCGAAUCGCAUGGCUUUGCCGGCGA
rnacentral:rRNA from 1 species